AAGACUGUAUUUUCAGAGAUCGUUUCUAUAGUUCUUUACUUGGAAAUGUGUUUUGAAAGUGUUUGUCUUCCAAACCAUGAUGAUGAGCUGUAAUGCUUCUUUCUGAGAGUGAAUCAAGGGCAGAACUGUGAUUUUAGUCACAAUCUGUCAUUGAUGAGCAUUCAUAUUGCUUCUGGCAGUACUGAAGGAAGGAGUAUGCUCUGAGUGGU
rnacentral:snoRNA from 1 species